GACGAACGCUGGCGGCGUGCCUAAUACAUGCAAGUAGAACGCUGAAGGAGGAGCUUGCUUCUCUGGAUGAGUUGCGAACGGGUGAGUAACGCGUAGGUAACCUGCCUGGUAGCGGGGGAUAACUAUUGGAAACGAUAGCUAAUACCGCAUAAUAGCAGUUGUUGCAUGACAACUGUUUGAAAGGUGCAAUUGCACCACUACCAGAUGGACCUGCGUUGUAUUAGCGAGUUGGUGGGGUAACGGCUCACCAAGGCGACGAUACAUAGCCGACCUGAGAGGGUGAUCGGCCACACUGGGACUGAGACACGGCCCAGACUCCUACGGGAGGCAGCAGUAGGGAAUCUUCGGCAAUGGACGGAAGUCUGACCGAGAAACGCCGCGUGAGUGAAGAAGGUGUUCGGAUCGUAAAGCUCUGUUGUAAGAGAAGAAAGAGUGUGAGAGUGGAAAGUUCACACUGUGACGGUAUCUUACCAGAAAGGGACGGCUAACUACGUG
rnacentral:rRNA from 1 species